rnacentral:rRNA from 1 species
AUGCCUCUAAGUCGUGCCUUGACAAUUGGGAGAUAUAGCCGCAUCGUGGGCGUUACACCGGUGUUCACAGGCCAUGUUUGGCGUGACCUCUUCAGGAUGGCAGGCGUCAAGCUCCGCCUGAGCACGGCCUUCCACCCGCAGACGGACGGCCAAUCCGAGGUGGUUAACAAGGUGAUUGCCAUGUAUUUGCGCUGUGUUACAGGUGAUUGCCCUCAGGCUUGGGUGGAUUGGCUCGCGUGGGCGGAGUACUGCUACAACACCUCCUAUCACUCCGCCCUGCAUGCUACACCAUUUGAGGUGGUCUACGGUCGGCCGCCUCCGCCUAUCUUGCCGGUGGACCCGGCAACAGCGCAGGCGGAGACCGCCGGUGAGCUUAUUCGCACCCGUGAUGAGAUGCUCGCUGAGGUCCGUCAGCGUCUCCUCCCGGCCCAGCAGCUGGCCAAGCAUUACUACGACGACAACCAUCGCGAGGCGGAGUUCGCGGUGGGUGAUUGGGUGUGGCUGCGUCUUCUCCACCACUCUACGCAGUCACUCGACCCGCGCGCGAAGCGCAAGCUCGGCCCUCGCUACGCCGGGCCCUUCGCCGUCUUGGAGCGCAUUGGACAGGUGGCCUAUCGCCUUCAGCUUCCGGCCGGUGCUCGCAUCCACGACGUUUUUCAUGUGGGGCUGCUCAAGCCUUUUCGUGGAGAGCCACCUGCCGCUCCACCCGCGCUUCCUCCAACCGCCGACGGACGUCUUCUUCCGGAGCCAGAGGUGUUGCGGGUGCAGCUCCGUCGCGGGGUGUGGUUCGUUCUGAUCCAGUGGGCGGGCCUUCCAGAGGAGGAGGCUACUUAG